rnacentral:rRNA from 1 species
AACGAACGCUGGCGGCAUGCCUAACACAUGCAAGUCGAACGAGACCUCCGGGUCUAGUUGCGCUCGGGUGCGUAACGCGUGGGAACUUGCCCGUAGGUUCCGUAUACCUCAGUUAAAUUUGAGCUAAUGCCGGAUGAUCUCUUCGCACAAAAGAUCUAUCGCCUUUUGAUGGGCCCGCGUUGGAUUCGCCAGUUGGUGGUGUAAAGGCCUAUCAAGGCGACGAUCCAGAGCUGGUCUGAGAGGAGGAUCAGCCACACUGGAACUGCGACACGGCCCAGACUCCUACGGGAGGCAGCAGAGGGGAAUAUUGGACAAUGGGCGAAAGCCUGAUCCAGCAAUGCCGCGUGAGUGAUGAAGGCCUUAGGGUUGUAAAGCUCUUUUACCCGAGAUGAUAAUGACGGUAUCGGGAGAAUAAGCUCCGGCUAACUCCGUG